rnacentral:rRNA from 1 species
AAGCAACAGCUGAUUGCACCAACUAAUAGUUGAUGCAAGAUUGACUAUGUCAAAUAAAAUUCUGGCUAGAACUAUGAUAAUGACAUAAUCUACCCAAGUCUUGACCAAUUUGCGUGCCAGCAGUCGCGGUAAUACGUAUAAGGCUAGUGUUAUUCAUAUUUAUUGGGUUUAAAGGGUACUUAGACGGUAGAUCAAGCCUUGCAAGGUACUAAUUUACUAGAGUUACUUACGAGGGGGUAUUAAAGUACUGCAGGUUUAGAGAUGAAAUUCUAUCAUACCUCUUUUCAAUAGAAAAAUUAUGGCACAGGUAUAGGUGAAAACAUCCCCUUAUGUGAUAACUGACGUUGAAGAACGAAGGCUUUGUGUAGCGAACAGGAUUAGAUACCCUAGUAGUCAAAGCAGAAAAUGAUGAAUGCCAUAGAUUAGAUAAAUAGUUUAUUCUAUAAAUGAAAGUGUAAGCAUUCCACCUCAAGAGUAAUUUGGCAACAUUGGAACUGAAAUCAUUAGACCGUUUYUGAAACCMGUAGUGAAGUAUGUCGUUUAAUUUGAUAAUCCGCAAAAAACCUUACCAUACGAAUAUGUAUAUUUAUAUAU